rnacentral:rRNA from 5 species
UAAUGACUCUCGGCAACGGAUAUCUCGGCUCUUACAUCGAUGAAGAACGUAGCAAAAUGCGAUACUUGGUGUGAAUUGCAGAAUCCCGUGAACCAUCGAGUCUUUGAACGCAAGUUGCGCCCGAAUCCAUCUGGUUGAGGGCACGUCUGCCUGGGUGUCACGUA